GGGCUGAUAGCUCAGUUGGUAUAGAGCGAUGGACUUGUAACCCAGAGGUCGCCGGUUCGAAUCCGACUCAGUCUC